rnacentral:lncRNA from 1 species
GGUUCCUGACCGCCGCAACAGCAUCUUCAUGACAUCUUUGCAAAUAACGAAGCAUUGCUUUCUCCCACGCACUCAUUUUCUUCAGCUUAUCGUGAGGGCCAACUAUGGUUUUCCCCUUGCCGCGGGAGGAACGACGAUAUCCCCCACCAUCGCCACUACAUCCAGCAUCAGAAGCCAUCUCUAUGUACCACAAAAUAUUUAGCUCAUAUUUAAUUUACAAAUAACUAAACUAUUAAAAAAUUCAAUAUUUUCCACAUAACUUACUUAUUCUAAAAAUGGCUAAUUGCAUACCUCUAUCUGAAAAGUACUAAAGUAUUAAAGUAUCAAAUUACACCUACAAUUUAUAUGGCUAAUUUAUAAGUGUUAACACAUUUACUCUAAUUUUUCCCUAAUACAUAAAAUUGAAAUAAUCUCAAUUCUACCUCACAUUUACUAUCCAUUUUCCCUCACAUUCUAAC